GGCUGGGGCGGCACAUCUGUUAAAAGAUAACGCAGGUGUCCUAAGAUGAGCUCAUCGAGAACAGAAAUCUCGUGUGGAACAAAAGGGUAAAAGCUCGUUUGAUUCUGAUUUUCAGUACGAAUACGACCCGCGC
rfam:Citrus clementina cultivar Clemenules unplaced genomic scaffold scaffold_5, whole genome shotgun sequence.